rnacentral:SRP_RNA from 11 species
GCCGAGCUUGGUAACGCGAGCUUGUGACUCAAGGGAGGGCAUUAAAGCGGGAUGGACUGUGGUCGAGCCCAUAUUGGUUGGAUCAAGUGUAUGCAACAUCUGGCCUGCCCGUUCCAAGUUUGGAGUUGGGUUUCGAGCGAAGGCUCGGGCUACAUGCAUGGUAGAGGGCAAUGCAUUAGGCUAGUUUCACAGAGCUGCGAAAAGCUCAUAGCAUUAUAGUCUACCGGCAUCUUGGGGGUGGGAUAAGGCUUAGAGACCAUUAGGUCCUGGGUUC